rnacentral:rRNA from 1 species
CCUGAUAAACCCGAAAGAUCGAAUGAGGAGAUUCAUCGUCAAUGUGUUUGGUAUAUUUGCAAAUUAUGAUAUGAGUUGUCCUUGUGAUCAACCUCACACGUGUUUGUAUUAUUUUAUCGCUGAAUAUUAUCGACGUGCACUUCUCCUCUAGUAGGACGUCGCGACCCGUUGGGUGUCGGUCUACGACCCGGAUGGUAGUCUUUGAAGUCAUCGUAAGAUGUUACUUUAGAGGCCACCGGUGUUUUCUGAUCGGCUACCCGGCGGUAUCCGCACGGUAAUGAGCCGCAAAUUUAUUUGCGUCACACCUGCCGCAAGCGAGGUCAAUAUUCUGGUAGUCAUGGACUUAGUGCCAUCGCUGGGUUUGACACGCUGUUCGCCGUGCAGUGUUCUAUGACUGGCUCUUUGUUUUAUAUUAAUUACCGGUCGGCGAUGCUUUUGCUUUGGGUACUUUCAGG